GACCGCGUAGCUCAGUUGGAAGAGCAUUGGGCUAGUAUUCCAAAGGUCCUAGGUUCGAAUCCCACCGUGGCCG